AUUGAACGCUGGCGGCAGGCCUAACACAUGCAAGUCGAGCGAGCGGCGGACGGGUGAGUAAUGUCUGGUAAACCGUCUGUUGGAGGGGGAUAACUACUGGAAACGGUAGCUAAUACCGCAUACCAUCAGAUGUGCCCAGAUGGGAUUAGCUAGUAGGUGGGGUAACGGCCCACCUAGGCGACGAUCCCUAGCUGGUCUGAGAGGUUGACCAGCCACACUGGAACUGAGACACGGCCCAGACUCCUACGGGAGGCAGCAGUGGGGAAUAUUGCGCAAUGGGCGCAAGCCUGAUGCAGCCAUGCCGCGUGUGUGAAGAAGGCCUUCGGGUUGUAAAGCACUUUUGGCGGGGAGGCGUUACCCGCAGAAGAAGCACCGGCUAACUCCGUGCCAGCAGCCGCGGUAAUUC
rnacentral:rRNA from 1 species